rnacentral:rRNA from 1 species
UACGUAGGGGGCAAGCGUUGUCCGGAUUUAUUGGGCGUAAAGAGCUCGUAGGUGGCUUGUUGCGUCUGCCGUGAAAGCCCGUGGCUUAACUACGGGUCUGCGGUGGAUACGGGCAGGCUAGAGGCUGGUAGGGGCAAGCGGAAUUCCUGGUGUAGCGGUGAAAUGCGCAGAUAUCAGGAAGAACACCCGUGGCUAAGGCGGCUCUCUAGUACGGUACUGACGCUGAGACGCGAAAGCGUGGGGAGCGAACAGG